GUGCCCGCUUUGGCAGCACAAAUACUAAAACUGGAAUGAUACAGAUGAGAUUAGCUCGGCCCCUGAGCAAGGGUGGCACGCAAAACAAGGAACUAGAGAGACGACCUU
ensembl:snRNA LOC120098057 U6 spliceosomal RNA